ensembl:lncRNA
CUUUGUCAAUGUCAAUGUCAUGUUGGUGACCGACGAAUUGGGAUAUCGCUUCGAUAGACCAAUCUACUUUGAGUGUAAACUAAAAGAGCCAAUGCACAUUGGCAUGCAAUUAUUGCAUCCAGCUGAGUAGGCAGCUGGUGCAAUGCAUACCAGCUUUUCGCUUCGGAGCCGAGUGACAGCAUCCUUCUACUCAACUGUGUCUGCCAUGAACUACGAGUUCAGCAUGCUCUUGGAAGCUUCCUGUGUUGGCAAGAUGGCGCUUCAGCGCACCGAGUGGGUUGUGCACUUCAGGCUGCACUACCCCAUGUCGUGUUGCAAGCGACCAUCUCCCCUGUGCACCUCAGCACUAAAAGAGCAUUUCCUUAAGAGCAAUUUCCUCUAAAAAAGCUCCACGGGUGCAUCUUUAUAAAGACAACGGAUUACCUGGCACAGGUGAUGGUCACGAUCACUGCCUCACGCGUCUGGGCAUCAAGCACGCUGAGGUGGCCUUCGUGGAUGUGUCAUGUUCCCAUUGCAGGAAGAUAACCAUCUCGGAGCUGCGAACCAGGCUCCGCUACCUUCAGGGGAGCAGAGUCCCAUUGCCUCUGCCGCGAUCUGGGGUUCGUUCUGGCGGACAGACAAGAACCACUUCCAGCAGUAGCGCGGGCGAUUUGAAGGUUACAGUGGUGGCAAACUCAGCAGGGAACCAACCCUCUGGGGACCAUCGCUCCUCUUGCACCUCCGAUCCAGCCGAACGCGCUGGACCCUCUUCAAAGAGCCAGCGGUAUCCAGUGGACCUCCCUCUGACCGGAUGUCGAUCUCAGCAUCGGAGGGAGAGCUGUUGGAUGAAGAUUCGGCUGCGCUGCGGGACAGUUGUAAAGCCUGAAUCGGAUUCGGAGAUGGCAGCUAUGCUUUCCCGGGCCACCGAGAGGGUAGGGCUCGAGUGGAAACUUCCACCACGUCCAGUGCCUUCGAUGCUGGAUGAUAGGUUUCUCGGGGUUGCUUGCACUGGUUCUCUGUGCCCCGCCCCAGUGCCUUUCUUCCCAGAAGUGCAUGAUGAGCUCACCAAGUCUUGGAUGGCACCUUUUACUGCCAGAAACUGGCCAGUGGGCUCCUCCUCCCUCACCACCCUCGAUGGCGGUGCAGCGAAGGGGUAUUUGGCAAUCCCGCCGGUGGAGCAAUGGUGUCCUAAGUCUGCCUCCUCCUGGUGUGGAGCCCCUGUGCUUCCUUCCCGGGCCUAUAGGCAUUCAUCUGGU